GUUACGAGAGUAGUGUUCGACGUCGCGACAGAGGACACGCUGGCGGCGUGCUUAACACAUGCAAGUCGAACGGAAAGGCCUGCUUUCCCGUUGUGGGAUUGCGGGUGCUCGAGUGGCGAACGGGUGAGUAACACGUGAGUGAUCUGCCCCCAACUUGGGUAUAAGCCUGGGAAACUGGGUCUAAUUCCCGAUAGGACUGCAGGGUGGUGCCUGUGGUGGAAAACGAUUUUCUAGUGGUUGGGGAUGAGCUCGCGGCCUAUCAGCUUGUUGGUGGGGUAAUGGCCUACCAAGGCGGCGACGGGUAGCCGGCCUGAGAGGGUGGACGGCCACAUUGGGACUGAGAUACGGCCCAGACUCCUACGGGAGGCAGCAGUGGGGAAUAUUGCACAAUGGGCGGAAGCCUGAUGCAGCGACGCCGCGUGGGGAUGACGGCCUUCGGGUUGUAAACUCCUUUCGACCGCGAGGAAGCCACCUGGUUGGAAGGGUGGUGACGGUAGUGGUAGAAGAAGCACCGGCUAACUACGUG
rnacentral:rRNA from 1 species